UACGUAGGGGGCAAGCGUUGUCCGGAAUCAUUGGGCGUAAAGAGCGUGUAGGCGGCCAGGUAGGUCUGCUGUGAAAACUCGAGGCUCAACCUCGAGACGCCGGUGGAAACCGUAAGGCUAGAGUCCGGAAGAGGAGAGUGGAAUUCCUGGUGUAGCGGUGAAAUGCGCAGAUAUCAGGAGGAACACCCGUGGCGAAAGCGGCUCUCUGGGACGGUACUGACGCUGAGACGCGAAAGCGUGGGGAGCAAACAGG
rnacentral:rRNA from 1 species